rnacentral:lncRNA from 1 species
CAUAUAACAUGUAAUUCAAUAAUGAAUGAAGAUUUCACUUGAUGAUAUAUGAUGAUCCAUAUUAUUAAAUGCAUAUUUAUGACAAUAUUUCAGUUAUUAUAUACAUAUGAGUCUUCACAAAUUGUAUUGGUUUUAGAAAUAUUAAUUUUAUCUACUGGCUUGAUGUACAUGUGCAGUGAUUCUUACUGAGCUGGAGAAGCUCAUAUUUUUUUCUUAUUUUUUU